ACGCCGCGUGAGUGAGGAGGCUUUCGGGUCGUAAAGCUCUGUUGCCAGGGAAGAACGCCAUGGAGAGUAACUGCUCUAUGGGUGACGGUACCUGAGAAGAAAGCCCCGGCUAACUACGUGCCAGCAGCCGCGGUAAUACGUAGGGGGCAAGCGUUGUCCGGAAUUAUUGGGCGUAAAGCGCGCGCAGGCGGUCUUUUAAGUCUGGUGUCUAAGUGCGGGGCUCAACCCCGUGAUGCACUGGAAACUGGGAGACUUGAGUGCAGAAGAGGAGAGCGGAAUUCCAUGUGUAGCGGUGAAAU
rnacentral:rRNA from 1 species